UUGCCGUUAAUUCCGGGCAACGCGCCCACGC
rnacentral:sRNA from 1 species